UACGUAAGGUAGUAGAAGGGUAGGGGAGUCGACAACGACCUCAUGCUCGUGGAGCGCGAUAUCUGAUUAGCUAGUUGGUAGGGUAAAAGCCUACCAAGGCAUCGAUCAGUAGCUGGUCUGAGAGGACGACCAGCCACACUGGAACUGAGACACGGUCCAGACUCCUACGGGAGGCAGCAGUGGGGAAUUUUGGACAAUGGGCGAAAGCCUGAUCCAGCAAUGCCGCGUGAGUGAAGAAGGCCUUCGGGUUGUAAAGCUCUUUUGCCAGGGAAGAAACGGUGAGAGCUAAUAUCUUUUGCUAAUGACGGUACCUGAAGAAUAAGCACCGGCUAACUACGUG
rnacentral:rRNA from 1 species